rnacentral:rRNA from 1 species
AUGUUGUUGCUGGUCCUGUUGGAGUAUCCCCUCUCCGGAUUUAUGGUCGGCGCAGCGAUCACUCGCCUCGUCCAGUCCUUCUCCGUCGUCUUCCUCUACUGGUUCUACGUCUUCUCCCUAACCUCCCUGUAG